CAGCUCGCUGCAACAUUAAUAACAUUCUCUGCUCCCCUAUUUAAUGAAGUUAACUCGACCUGCCGUUUGUUCCAUUUGACCUCCCGGGUCAUGCAUAUGUAGAGUAGCUCAGGUCAAGCUGAACAAUCAUUACAUGUUGUGCAACAUCUUUCACGAGUACAGUCAGCAAAUAUACAUAGAUUUAGAUUAGAGAGUUAAUGAAGAACUUUGAUCUACCAGUAUCAUAUUAAGCUACCGGUAGCUACCAGUAUCUGUAGGCACUAGAAAGUUAUUUAUUGAAAUUUAUCUAAUGUAGGCCAAGGUCCUUAGCUUGAACUAGGUCAAGGUCAUUGAUGCAACCUUGGCCAAAGUCAUUACCAUGGUCAUGGUAAAGGUCAUUGGCAUGGUCUGGGUCAAGGUCAUUGCCAUUAUCUGGGCCAGGCUAACCUUUUGCAAGGUCAAACUUUGUGUAACAGUUGUACGAGGUAUUUAAUGUCUUGCGUGAUGCUAAAUAAAGUUCAUAUGAGUAUAAUUCACCUCUGUUACAUUUCGUGAUUCAAUGUCAAUGGUGUUUAUAUUCUUUGAAUGUGUUUGCUUGGCGUGAUGCAAGACAGUAGACAUAUAUGUAUACGUUGUUUGUGUACUGUUGAAUCUGUUACCAUGGUUACCCAAACUUGUUUGUACAUUCUGUAUGUGUUGUAUAUUUUGCAUAUUUGCACACCACUGUGAACGUAGAGAUAUGUACAGUACUUGUCAUCCGGUAUGGAAUUGUUGUCUGUUGCAAAUAGAUAAAAGUUUAUCGUCAGUGUGAUGAAGAUCGCCAUGUCAUUUUGCAUCAGCCAACAGGAUAUUUUUGAUUCAAAGAACAAUGUUCCUGAUUUUUUGUUAGAUGUAUACAUAUAUUCUAGAUUAAAGAGAUCAUGACUUCAAUUAUCUGUCAGAUCAUAAUCAUUCUACUGUUUUUAUGCUAUAUCGUGCAACAUCAAGAACUAUUACUGCUUUAUGAACCUUUUAUAUUCCGCUUCUGUUUUGUUAGCUUCUAAUAUUACGCUUUAGUAGUAUUAUCUGAUGCAUGUUUUGAAAGGAUUUCAUUAAUUCAGUGUAAAUAUCAGUCAUUACAAGCAUAAUUCAUUUAUUCUUCCAGGGAAAUUGAUCACUUUGAAAAUCAUGUUAAUUUUCAUUCAUUUAAUCUUAUUUUCUGCUUAUUGCUUUUUACUGAGCUUACGCACACAGUUAUCUCCCUUGAAUUUUGAAUACCUGCAGAAGGUAUGAUCAUUUAUUGUAGGUGGAUGGUGAGUGUAAAAUAAGGUCAUGAAAAAAUAAAUCACAACUAAAGGCAUAAAAAAAAAUAAUAAUAAUCUGGUUAAUUUUGCAAAUGAAAAAUUAUGCAUUAGUUAGAGAAUUUCGUCUGGGGGUCAUUUCUGUGAUAGUCCUGAUUGCAAGGUUCAGAUAUUGUUAGAGAAGAUAUCAAAAGAAAUUGAUAAACAAUAGAUCCAAUAAAUUUGUUUGAAACAUCUGUACAGUAGAAUAUAUCCAGACUCCAUUGCUGGACCGUUACCUGUGCAAAGCUCUGCAGUAUGUAGAGGCAAGGAGGCAAAACGUUGCUGCAUGGAGCUUGGCAUUUAUAGCUUUAAGACUAUUAGGUGACAUUAGUGUUGAUCACACAGAAAGGACUUCGAGGGAUGUGCUGAAUUUUCAUUUGUUACUGGAGUUUUGAGCAGGAAGUCUGUAUGUUAAUCUGUUUUUGACCAAAAAUUCUGUAAACUGGGCUGGUAUAAAUUCAUAUCACCACAAUUUACAUAUUUAGCUUCCUGUUCUAGUAACCACGCCCUGGCCAGCUUCUUCAUCAACCUGCUAGAAAUUAAGAUAAGUGCCCCAAAGUAAAACCCUUAUUUAAAACAUUUCUGGUGUAUGUUAUGGGUUCUUAACUGAAAACAUCAGAAGGGGGUUAUUAUUGCCUUGUAACUAUUUUCAGAAAAGUUCUUGUUUUUAAUGUUGUUUCUUCAACACUGCUCAUAUUCUGAAAACUUUUGUUACUUUUAAAAAAUCUGUUCUCAGCUUUUAAGUGCCCAGAAUGCUUAUGACGGAUAAUAGGGUAAUUGCCAUUUCUUUGGAGUUAGACUUGCUGGCUAUCUGGGUUGACUAUUUCUUUGAUAGGGUUCAGCUUGAAGAAUGUGAGAAUUGGUUUGAAUUUUGUCAAAUUUAUCAGGAUUCUGACAAGAAACAAAAUGAAUCUGAAAUGAGGAAAUAGAUUAAGAAAUGUGAGUAAUUGUAAUGUUUUUAAGAUAAGAAACAAGGAGCAGUAUAUAUUUUGUAUUAAGCCUUGAGGAUUUCUUGCUAGUAUACUGAGAUCAUUACAUCAUCAAGUUUGGUGGUUUGAAGGCAUAUCAUUAUUGUAAUAUUAUAACAGUGUAGGUCGAAGGUGUGAUGUCAUAACAUGAUUAUGAUUACCUCAUGCAUGUAUGUGACAUGACUGGAAGAAUUAUCAUACCAGUGAUAUAACUAUUAAUAGAUCAAUCAGUACUACACAUGUAAGAUUGAGGGAAAAAUCUUCUCAACAUUGCAGUUUAAUACAUGAAAACAUUGAUUUCAUUUCAUGAAAAUCUAAUGGACAUUAAUUACCUGCUUUGUAUAAAGAUGUCAACAGAAAGGGAACUCUCGACAUGGUUGUCUGCUAUAAAUAGAAUUAUAUAGAUCACAGUGUAAAAUAAUGCAACCACUUGCUCAUGUGUUCAUUGCAGUGCAUGUUUUGCAUGAAAUCAAACUUCUCAACUGAAAGUACUCUUGUAUAGACAUUAUUUUGUUUUUAUUUAUCAGAUUCUUAAAAACUAAAACUCAUAGGUGAGAGAACAGAUAGGUGAGAGAACAGGAAGGUGUUUCAUACCUUGUACUUUUAUCAAACUGUUUUAAAAUUCAAACAUUUUCUAAAAAUC